GACGAACCGUGCGAACGUUGUUCGGAAUCACUGGGCUUAAAGGGCGCGUAGGCGGGUUCGCAAGUCGGGGGGUGAAAUCUUUCAGCUUAACUGGAAAAGUGCCUCCGAUACUGCGAGUCUCGAGGGAGGUAGGGGCAUGUGGAACUUCCGGUGGAGCGGUGAAAUGCGUAGAUAUCAUUUGGAACGCCAAUGGUGAAAACAGGUCGCUGGGGAUGAGCUGACGCUGAGACACGAAAGCCAGGGGAGCAAACGGG
rnacentral:rRNA from 1 species